CAGCAGCCACGGUAAUACGUAGGGUGCAAGCGUUAAUCGGAAUUACUGGGCGUAAAGCGCGCGUAGGCGGUUACUCAAGUCAGAGGUGAAAGCCCGGGGCUCAACCCCGGAACUGCCUUUGAAACUAGGUGACUAGAAUCUUGGAGAGGUCAGUGGAAUUCCGAGUGUAGAGGUGAAAUUCGUAGAUAUUCGGAAGAACACCAGUGGCGAAGGCGACUGACUGGACAAGUAUUGACGCUGAGGUGCGAAAGCGUGGGGAGCAAACAGGAUUAGAUACCCCCGUAGUCCCUGUCUCUUAUAC
rnacentral:rRNA from 1 species